UCUCACUAUCUUUCCAUUCUUUCUGAUUUCACCUCCACUGUGUCAACAACCAAAUCGGCCUUCUACCGGACCAAAAUCAACUCCUCCGCCGCAUACCGCAGGAAAUUGUUUUCCCUGUUCUCGUCCCUCCUCAACCCUCCCGCACCCCCACCUCCUUCCUGCCUCACUGCUGAUGACUUUGUUACCUACUUUACCCAGAAAGUAAAGGACAUUAGCUCCUCUUUUAUCCCUGCCUCCAUCCUGCCUCCUCCCAUCCGCUCCUCUGUCUUUACCCAAUUUAUCCCUCUCACCUCUGACGAGGUCAACAGAAUAAUAACAUAUAACCAUGCCACCACCUGCCCCCUUGACACUAUCCCCUCCUCUCUCCUCCAGGAUGUCUCAAGCGACAUCCUGCCAUUUCUCACCUCACUUAUCAACUCCUCUCUCACUUCAAGCAUUGUUCCAGCAUCUUUCAAGACUGCCAGAAUAAAACCUCUCCUCAAAAAACUCUUAAUACCACUGACAUCCAGAACUACAGACCGGUAUCUCUUCUUUCAUUACUCUCUAAAACACUGGAACGUGCCAUUGCUAACCAACUGUCCUCCUGUCUCUCAUCUAACAACCUGCUUGACCCUCACCAUUCAGGCUUCAAGAAGGCACACUCCACUGAGACGGCUCUCCUCGUGGUGCCUGAGUCCCUCCGUGCUGCCAGAGCCUCAUCCCUCUCAUCGGUUCUCAUUCUCCUCGACCUGUCUGCAGCAUUUGACACGACAGUAUCGGCUUCCUGUGUUGUCCAGGCCAUCAGAGCUAAUUACCGAGCACAAGAUGGGCAGUACUGUGGCUACCAGGAGACAGUAGAUGCUCAAGAUGAGCUGUGACUAUUUUGACAAACGCAGACUACACGUUUUAUUUGUGUAAAUAGUUCAUAUUUUUUCAGAAAUAAAACUUCAAAUUCC